UGGGGAAUAUUGCACAAUGGGCGCAAGCCUGAUGCAGCCAUGCCGCGUGUGUGAAGAAGGCCUUCGGGUUGUAAAGCACUUUCAGCGGGGAGGAAGGCGGUGAGGUUAAUAACCUCACCGAUUGACGUUACCCGCAGAAGAAGCACCGGCUAACUCCGUGCCAGCAGCCGCGGUAAUACGGAGGGUGCAAGCGUUAAUCGGAAUUACUGGGCGUAAAGCGCACGCAGGCGGUCUGUCAAGUCGGAUGUGAAAUCCCCGGGCUCAACCUGGGAACUGCAUUCGAAACUGGCAGGCUAGAGUCUUGUAGAGGGGGGUAGAAUUCCAGGUGUAGCGGUGAAAUGCGUAGGGAUCUGGAGGAAUACCGGUGGCGAAGGCGGCCCCCUGGACAAAGACUGACGCUAAGGUGCGAAAGCGUGGGGAGCAAACAGG
rnacentral:rRNA from 1 species